GACGAACGCUGGCGGCGUGCUUAACACAUGCAAGUCGAGCGGUAAGGCCCUUUCGGGGGUACACGAGCGGCGAACGGGUGAGUAACACGUGGGUGACCUGCCCUCAGCGCUGGGAUAAGCCUGGGAAACCGGGUCUAAUACUGGAUAUGACUCCAUGACACAUGUUGUGGGGUGGAAAGCCUUGUGCGGCUGAGGAUGGGCCCGCGGCCUAUCAGCUUGUUGGUGGGGUGANGGCCUACCAAGGCGACGACGGGUAGCCGGCCUGAGAGGGCGACCGGCCACACUGGGACUGAGACACGGCCCAGACUCCUACGGGAGGCAGCAGUGGGGAAUCUUGCGCAAUGGGCGAAAGCCUGACGCAGCGACGCCGCGUGAGGGAUGACGGCCUGG
rnacentral:rRNA from 1 species